UGUUUGAGUCCAGGAAUCAGCACCUGCUGUAAGCCUACUGGACACUGGAUACUUUCUAUCUUGCCCCAGAAAUGAUAAGAAUCGAACAAUUACUACAAAUUAAAGUGCCGACAUCCAAGGCUACCAACCACUGGCUGACACAGAAAAUGAAAUGGAACCUCCUCUCUAGUCCAUGGACAGAAUAAAGAAAACAUUAUAUGUUUUUAGGCAGGACCCCUACCUUUCAUCAGCAUGGAAACAGCCAUGGAAGAUGAAUUAUUAGUCUUCUGCACCCAAAAAGAUUUCUGGGACAAUUUUUACUGAUGAAUUAAGACCAGAGAAGAAUAGAGUGGAGAGGCAUAUUUCAGAGAUUAACAUAUAAAAAACAUCAGUAUAGAAAAAGUAGAGUCCUUUAGCCCCCAUUGGCUUCAUUCAACUAAAGGAGUAUAAUGUAAAAGGCCCACCUCAUUAUAUAAACCUUAGAGAGACAAGUAUAAGUGACCCCAAAAAAGGUCAUGCAGCUCUCCCUCUCCACUCUUUCUCUUAGAGUCAGGCCACAGGCUAGGUCUGGUGCACCUCCUUUAAUAAAAUAUCUCCUUUCCAGUAAGUA